CCUACGGGAGGCAGCAGUGGGGAAUAUUGCACAAUGGGGGGAACCCUGAUGCAGCGACGCCGCGUGAGUGAAGAAGUAUUUCGGUAUUUAAAGCUCUAUCAGCAGGGAAGAAAAUGACGGUACCUGACUAAGACCCCCCGGCUAACUACGUGCCAGCACCCGCGGUAAUACGUAGGGGGCAAGCGUUAUCCGGAUUUACGGGGGGUAAAGGGAGCGUAGAGGGUUAUGCAAGUCUGAAGUAAAAGCCCAAGGCUAAACCAUGGGACUGCUUUGAAAACUGUAAAACUGGAGUGCAGGAGGGGUAGGCGGAAUUCCGGGUGUAGCGGUGAAAUGGGUAGAUAUUAGGGGGAACACCAGUGGCGAGGGCGGCUUACUGAACUGUAACUGACGUUGAGGCUCGAAGGGGUGGGGAGCAAACAGGAUUAGAUACCCUUGUGGC
rnacentral:rRNA from 1 species